rnacentral:rRNA from 1 species
CCCUACGGGGGGCAGCAGUGGGGGAUAUUGCACAAUGGGGGGAACCCUGAUGCAGCGACGCCGCGUGGGUGAAGAAGUAUUUCGGUAUGUAAAGCCCUAUCGGCAGGGAAGAAAUUGGACGGUACCUGACUAAGAAGCCCUGGCUAACUACGUGCCAGCAGCCGCGGUAAUACGUAGGGGGCAAGCGUUAUCCGGAUUCACUGGGUGUAAAGGGAGCGUAGACGGCCAUGCAAGCCUGGAGUGAAAGCCCGGGGCCCAACCCCGGGACUGCUCUGGGGACUGAGCGGCUGGAGGUCGGGAGGGGG